GGGAAGAAAAAGAGGGGACUACCGACUACAACGAGAAACACCAACCCCAAUCCCAUCACAAGCAAUCUACAGCCCAUUACCACUACGCCCCAAUCAUAUUACACAACCCCAUUACAAACGAAAAUUGGCCAAAAUAAACAGAAAAUACAAAGCUCUUCUAGCCGAAAUUUUGGGGAUUCGAAGCUUCCGAAUUCCCAAGUUCCCGGAGCCAGCAACCAAGGGCCAUCCAUGCUGCGAAAGAAGAACAAAAUCAGCUUUUAAAGGUUGGUCCUCCCAAACAAAACAUCUUCCCAAUUUUCAAAUCAUAUCUAUGUUUCCAUUGCUCAUGUCCUAAACCCUUUUCUAAUCUAAUAAUCAUCAAUACUAAAUAAUCCGAAGAACUCACAGAAACAGUAAUAUAAAAAAGUAAAGACUGUUUUCACCAAAUGAAAGCUUACUAGAAAAUAUGAUUAAAAGGAUUCAAAUGGGCGAUUUCGAGUCAUUUUAACACCAUCAACAUCAAAAUUCAAAUACCGUACAAAGACUUAACAUGUGGCACUACAAUCAAGCAAAAUAUGGGCAUUUUCUCCAAAUAACUAUUGCUGGAAUUUUAUUAAAACUAACAAAGUGAUCAAAUUUUUCAAGCAAAUAAGCCAUCUUAUGGUGUUUAAAGUACUGAGUUCAGUUCCAUAACAGGACAGUCAAAUUUUCACCUUUCAAUCUACAUAUUUUAAUCUUAAUGACAAAACUGUUUCUACCAAACAAAAUUAGAAUAUUUAGAAUUAAGAGUUUUACCUUUCCUAAGAGCGUCUUCCCUCUUCUUCAUUUUUCCGAUCGAUUUCCCCUGGUAGGUUGAAACUGAGUUUUCUUUCUUCAUUCACCUGAAAUACACUUAGAAAAUCAGACUCUUUCUCUUCUGUCUUCGAAAUAAAUUAAACUACAAAAGAAAAAAGACAAAACAAUACUUAACCUUCUUCUCUUUGUCAGUUUCUUCGUGUCCCCUUCUCCUUUUCUUUACCGAAUCCUCAACUCCAUUGAAAAUAGUAAAGAGAACAAAAUAAGAGAAAGAACACAAACUCAAACCCUAAAUCUACAGAUCGGGGCUUGCAAACGACAUGCAAGCCCGGAUCGAACUAAAAAUAGAAAAAAAACACGAAUAGAAAGGGGGCUUUUUACCUUUUCUUCCUUCUGUUUUCCUUCCUUUGUCGUUGUGGGAGAAGAGAGGAGAUGGAGGCGGCGCGGCCGCCGCCGCUGAGAGAGAAGGAGAAGAGGAAGGAACAGGAGGCGAAAGAGAGGCAGGAAGAAGAAGAGGACAAAA
rnacentral:lncRNA from 1 species